UUAGCUUUUUGUGUAUGUGAUGUGUAACAUUACGAUCGGGUACCAGCCAAUCUACGUGUGUAUGUGUACAUGAUUUCCCGCCAAAAUGACCGUUUUACAGCUAUGGAAAAAAUAGUCCACAAACGUUCCGUACAAUGAUAUCAAAUUCAUAAUUAAUCGUAACUUUUUUUUAUCUUUGUAUAAUAAAUAUAACAAAAUGGAUUCCACAAAAUUGAAAAUAGCAUUAUUUUACGAGGAUUUCUCAUAUUUUUCUCACUUCCGGCGCAGUAAUACGUAUGUUUCGAAGAAGCUCGAAGAAUUUGACAAAGUGAAUUGAGAAGGAAACGGAUAGAUUUACGUCCUUGCUAUCAGGGCACAAACCCACUUUAAAGACACUUGUCUACUGCCAUACCCAUCCUAAUUUCAUGCACCAUUUGCAAGCAAGAGACUGAAUGGUUUGCAAAAUUAAAAAUCAGGACGGUGUCCAAUUAAAACAAAAGAACUAAACUGGAUGAAUAUUGUAGGAGAAAUCUAGAGGAAAGUUUUGAUUUGUGAAAUUGGUUUUCCUGAAAAGCCAUUCAUCCUAGCCUGCAGAAAGGAACUAUAACUGUCCACCACCAACUGACGAGCUAAUGUUGAGCUUCACAUAUGGAAUUAAUCAAAUACCAUCAACGUUUGUGUUUUCAGCACAGAUUUCACAAGUUAUGACACAGCUGUGUUUUUUUAUACCUGUUUAUAGAGUUGUAUACUAAAUUUUAUUUUUUUUAUCAAUAAAUAUAUAUUGUGUCA